rnacentral:rRNA from 1 species
UACGAAGGGGGCAAGCGUUGUCCGGAAUUACUGGGCGUAAAGGGCGCGUAGGCGGCUGCCUUUGUCAGGUGUGAAAGCCCCAGGCUCAACCUGGGAAUUGCACUUGGGACGGGGUGGCUUGAGUUCGGGAGAGGAGAGUGGAAUUCCCAGUGUAGAGGUGAAAUUCGUAGAUAUUGGGAAGAACACCGGUGGCGAAGGCGGCUCUCUGGACCGAUACUGACGCUGAGGCGCGAAAGCGUGGGGAGCAAACAGG